rnacentral:rRNA from 1 species
AGCUUUAUGCUAUUUACCUAAAGUAUAUCCUGCUCAGUGAAAAUAAACAGCCGCAGAAUUUUAUACUGUGCUAAGGUAGCAUAAUCACUUGUCUUUUAAUUAAAGAAUAGAAUGAACGGAAAAACGAAUCUUAACCUGUUUCAUCUUUUUCUAAUAAAAUUACCAUAAAGUAAAAAAGCUUUAAAACACAAAAAAGACGACAAGACCCUAAAGAACUUCACUAAAGUUUAGCUGGGGCGGCUUUCUAAAAAAAUCUUAUCUAAUUUCAUCUCAACACUACUUUAUCCAAAGUUACCUUAGGGAUAACAGCAUAAUUUAAUUUUACAGCUCUUAUUUAAAAUCAAGAUUAUGACCUCGAUGUUGAAUUAAGCCUCUUUUAGCUGAAAACCUCUAACUAGAAAGUCUGUUCGACUUUUAAA